UGGGGAAUAUUGCACAAUGGGCGCAAGCCUGAUGCAGCGACGCCGCGUGAGGGAUGACGGCCUUCGGGUUGUAAACCUCUUUCAAUAGGGACGAAGCGCAAGUGACGGUACCUAUAGAAGAAGGACCGGCCAACUACGUGCCAGCAGCCGCGGUAAUACGUAGGGUCCGAGCGUUGUCCGGAAUUACUGGGCGUAAAGAGCUCGUAGGUGGUUCGUCGCGUUGUUCGUGAAAACUCACAGCUUAACUGUGGGCGUGCGGGCGAUACGGGCAGACUAGAGUACUGCAGGGGAGACUGGAAUUCCUGGUGUAGCGAUGGAAUGCGCAGAUAUCAGGAGGAACACCGGUGGCGAAGGCGGGUCUCUGGGCAGUAACUGACGCUGAGGAGCGAAAGCGUGGGGAGCGAACAGGAUUAGAUACCCUGGUAGUCCACGCCGUAAACGGUGGGUACUAGGUGUGGGUUUCCUUCCUUGGGAUCCGUGCCGUAGCUAACGCAUUAAGUACCCCGCCUGGGGAGUACGGCCGCAAGGCUAAACUCAAAGGAAUUGACGGGGUCAUAGCUG
rnacentral:rRNA from 1 species